CCGAGUUUCCAGCCUCGGUUUUCAGCGGAGACAGCAUCAUUCAUUUUUUCUUUCGCUCCUUCCAGGACUGGGAUUAGGGUGAGGCGACUGAGGCACUCGCCCCGGAAACAAUAUUUACAGAGGCGCCGAAAAACUCAGUCAUCGACCUAAGGAAUAUGUUAAUGCACUAGUAAAAAACCAAAAACCAAAAAAAGUCUUACUGGAACCAGGAUCCUGACGACGGUGAGGGGCGGGGGACAAGGUCGUGCAAGAAAUAUAUUUGCACAGCUCAAAAUUCAAAGCGUCUACCAGAGGCCGGCCUGGUGGUGUCGUCAUUAAGUUCCCACGAUCUGCUUCAGCGGCCCCGUGUUCACAGGUUUGUGAACUCAGAUCCCAGCCGCAGACCUGCACACCGCCUAUCAAGCCACUCUGUGGCAGCACCCCACAUACGAAAUAGAGGAAGAUUGGCAUAGAUGUUAGUUCAGGGCCAAUCUUCCUCAGCAAAAAACAAACAAACAAAGUGUCUAAAAGGCUGUGCACAGAAUGUCUCUCUCCCAAGCCUCUUCCCAGGAAACAGGUGACCCCAUCCUAAGGCAGCCAAUCCUCCCAAUAGCUCCUCAUUCAGCGCUGAGAAUUCAUUCAGCUUGCAUCCGUGUGCGCCUGUGAGCAGGUGCAAAGAGAUCACCCCGACUUUUUCACUGUUUUUUUUUUUUUUUAACACACACAGCAGCUUUCAAUAAAACUGCACAGAUGUUCACUUCUUCUGCCUCGGCUCGUCUUGUGAUCCUCCCAUGCAACCCCCAGGGCUGGCCCACCUCAUGUACAUUCAGUCCCCUCUUGAUGGGCACGUAGGUUGCUUCCAGCCACAGCAAUGCACAUGGGGUGUUUCACCCUCCUGGACGGGGACCUUCGGGGAAGGUUCCUGGAAGCAGAGAAUUCUAAUGAGAAGGUUCAGAAAGCUGCAUCUGGGAAACAAAGCGAUCAUUGGUCCCCCCGCUGAGAAAAACACGCCACAACAGGAACGGGAAGUGACCUGGCAGGUGAGACUAUGGGUGAUUUUUCUCCCUUCACGCUUUGAUGUGUUUUCUGACUUAGUGAUAGUUUUACUUGGCAAAGGGUGUGUUUCACUGUUAUGAUCAGCCAGAAGCUGAAAUAAAACUAGAUGGCGAAAA